AGAGUUUGAUCCUGGCUCAGGACGAACGCUGGCGGCGUGCUUAACACAUGCAAGCCGAACGAGAGAUCUGAAGUGCUUGCACUUUAGUGAUCUAGUGGCGAACGGGUGAGGAACACGUGAGCAACCUGUCCUACGGCGGGGGAUAGCCGGUCCAACGACCGGGUAAUACCGCGUAAUUCGGUUGACCUUAUGGUUGACUGUGAAAGCGGCCUUCGGGUCGCGCCGGAGGAGGGGCUCGCGUCCUAUCAGCUUGUUGGUGAGGUAACGGCUCACCAAGGCUACGACGGGUAGCUGGUCUGAGAGGAUGAUCAGCCACAUUGGGACUGAGAUACGGCCCAGACUCCUACGGGAGGCAGCAGUGGGGAAUAUUGCGCAAUGGCCGAAAGGCUGACGCAGCGACGCCGUGUGUGGGAUGACAGCCUUAGGGUUGUAAACCACUGUCAGGAGGGACGAAUGCCCGACGGUUAAUACCCGUUUGGGAGUGACGGUACCUCCAAAGGAAGCACCGGCUAACUCCGUGCCAGCAGCCGCGGUAAUACGGAGGGUGCGAGCGUUGUCCGGAAUCACUGGGCGUAAAGAGUACGUAGGCGGUUUUUUAAGUCACCUGUGAAAUUUCGGGGCUCAACCCCGAACCUGCAGGUGAGACUGGAAGACUUGAGCACGGUAGGGGCAAGUGGAAUUCCCGGUGUAGCGGUGGAAUGCGUAGAUAUCGGGAAGAACAUCGGUGGCGAAGGCGACUUGCUGGGCCGUAUGCUGACGCUGAGGUACGAAAGCGUGGGGAGCAAACAGGAUUAGAUACCCUGGUAGUCCA
rnacentral:rRNA from 1 species